AAUCAUUGGAGCGAGCUCGUCGCGUCGCUUCGCGAUGCGAGCUUCGCUCGCUAAUAUGUUGUACGGUGUGACCGUUGAGACGAGCGAAGGGUCGGAAAGUCUCGUUUACUUUCACUUUCGAUUUACUACUUCCGGGCAGCAGUCGAUAAAUGUCACUUUGUUUUGCUUUGGUUAUGCUCAGAUGACAGCAUUAAAAUGAACCUACAGCCAAUAUAGAUUCCCAACUUAUGCAAAAAGAGGAAGAAGUGGAUUUAUAGAUGCAGAUGCUGUUAUAUACAUCAUUUCCUUCAGAUGUAUCAAUGUGCUGGUGGCUGUUAUGAAGAGAAUGGGCCCAUUUUAACAACUUCUAGGGUGGGCGGUACAAGGGUUCAUACCAGUGAUCAAUUUGUCAUGACUCUUAUGAAGUUGCACCUAAAUCUAAGGGAUCUACAUUUAGCAGACCAGAGGGCUCAAUGCCGAAUUUACCUCUGAAAGAAUCGCAAUGGAUACAACAAACAGAACACUGGAUUUAAUUUUAAAAAUGAAUAACUAGUCAUUAUCUGACAGCAACUACAUUGUGCAAAAUUUGUCACACAGCAAAGGCUAUCACUUGUGUAGCACAAUUGUUCUGAAUUAUAUCCUGGAUCCACCUUUGAUGGUGACAUUGUUGAUCACUGAGGUGUAUUGGAGAUGUUGAAGCCAGAUGAUAUAUGAUUCUUGCUAAUAAAGGAUUUGAUAUAUUUGAUAAACUUUAAUCAGGAGUGACAUUGAACAUAUCACCUUUUCUUUCAUCAAAAUCUCAUUUCAGUAAGGAUGAAGCACAACUGUUACAAGACCAGGAAGAGUCAAAUUCAUGUGGAGUGUGCAAUUUAAUAAUUAAAAACACCCAUAUUCUAAAUCAUAUACCUUCACAAUACAGACAUAUAUAUCUGUCCACUAAGAUUUUCAACUCUGUGUGACUCUUGUACAUUUGCAAAUCCUCUACUGAAGGAAAUAGCUGAUAUGAAUUCCACAAUUUAUUAAAUCUUACCUUUGGACUUAAGAUACUAUAAAUGUACAACUUCUUACUCACAUUAUUCUGCAUUGUCAAGUUGUAUUAAAUGCAUUCAAGUAAAUGAUAAAGUGAACAUUUAUUUAAGGCUGCAGCGUCUGCUAGUCAAAGAAAUUGUUACAAUUGUGAUUCAUGUACAUCUUUAUACUGAUCAUUUGUAGCAAAAACAAAAUAAAACUAAUGGAAGACAUUUGAAUUUUCA